rnacentral:rRNA from 1 species
UACAGAGGUCCCAAGCGUUUGUUCGGAUUCACUGGGCGUAAAGGGUGCGUAGGUGGUGAGGAAAGUCGGAUGUGAAAUCUCCAAGCUCAACUUGGAAACUGCAUUGGAAACUACCUUGCUAGAGGAUUUGAGGGGGAUUGGAAUACUUGGUGUAGCAGUGAAAUGCGUAGAUAUCAAGUGGAACACCAGUGGCGAAGGCGAAUCCCUGGAAAAUACCUGACACUGAGGCACGAAAGCUAGGGAGCAAACAGG